GAUGAACGCUGGCGGCGUGCUUAACACAUGCAAGUCGAACGAUGAAGCCCAGCUUGCUGGGCGGAUUAGUGGCGAACGGGUGAGUAACACGUGAGUAACCUGCCCUUGACUCUGGGAUAAGCCCGGGAAACUGGGUCUAAUACCGGAUAGGAGCGCCUGUCGCAUGACGGGUGCUGGAAAGAUCUUUCGGUCAUGGAUGGACUCGCGGCCUAUCAGCUUGUUGGUGAGGUAACGGCUCACCAAGGCGACGACGGGUAGCCGGCCUGAGAGGGUGACCGGCCAAAAGGGGACUGGAACAAGGCCCAAACCCCUAGGGGAGGGAGGAGGGGGGAAAAUUGCAAAAUGGGGAAAAGCCUGAUGCAGGGACGCCGGGGGGGGGAGGACGGCCUUGGGGUUGAAAACCUCUUUAAGGAGGAAAGAAGCGAAAGGGAGGGUACCGGAAAAAGAAGCACCGGCAAACUACGU
rnacentral:rRNA from 1 species